AAUGAUUUAAAUUAAAGGACUAGAUGUUGUUCAUUCUUACUUGUUUGGUUGGGGUCCCAUGCUUGGGUUACUCAUACAUGUUGCACUAUUCUCAGAUAUCCUAUCUACUGCAGCUGCUGCAACUAUUCACAAACUCAGAACAGAUGUCUUUCAGGGAUAGACAUUCUUGUUGAAUGGUGCAUGCUCUUAUCCUGGUGGUGAUGAUGGGGAGCCUUGGAGCAACGGUAAACGGGUUUGAACCGUGGAAUCUGGUGCUUGGUUAGGAUAAGCUACCUACAUUACACCCCCAUGGGUUGGCCCUUCCCCGUACACUGCGUGAACGCGGGAUGCUUUGUGAAUUGUGAUCCUAGAGGUAGCUUCGAUCGUUAUGUUGGAUUUUAUUAAUGGCUAUUUUAAGUAAGUUGAAAACAUGCCCACUCCUCAUCUAACAUGUAAUCUAUGUUAUCGAUGUUUAAUUAGUUUUCGUCUUGAUAUAAAAUAAGUGGAAAUUCCUAACCUCUGAACAAGGCAGUAUGUACAUCAGUUUUCAGUUGAACUUUCAAGAAAAAGAUCAAGUGAUUCUGAUAUCUUAGGGAAUUUUAUGCACUUUGGAGGAAUAUAUUACAAGCUUUAGGUAAAGUGGUAUAGGCAUAAAGCAGAAUUCCCUUGUACAGUUUUGCUGGCAUGUGGAUAGGAAUGAAGUGAGGAUGUGCAUGUUAAGCUAUGAUGAUAAAUUCUUUCUUUUAGAUCUAAUUGACUUGAUUUUAUUGAGUUGCAUUGAACUAUAAUAUUGUAAAACUCUAGUAUAAGAAAGUAUAUAGCCCUGACAUGCUAGAAAUAUAUAAUGUUAUUCAUCUGACCAAACGGUCUUGUUAAAUUGUCAGUCCUUUUUGUCAUUUUCAGUUUGCCUUUUUCUUUUAUCCGGAUUCAGGAUUUUCUGAUUGUUGAUAUCCAAGAUUUAAUAGUUGCUUAAUGUUGCCAUAUCAAACCAUAAUAAUAUUCCAUCGUUUCAUUUUAUAUAGAAGGUGUUAACUUGUCUUAUACUACUAUAUUAUAUCAACGAUGAUCUACGAAAAUAUCCAAGAUUUAAUAGUUGCUUAAUGUAUUUGAAUUUUUUGUGAUUUUUUUAUCGAAAUGGAAUGAUUUCAAACUUAUCGGAACAUCCAAAAAUAAAAAGUAAUAUAUAAUUAAUUGAAUUAGAAGAAUUAUAAACUACCAGUAACAUUCAUUUCAUGUUUCUCUAAACAACCCAAAUCCUCUUUUCUAGUAAUGGUACAUUUUAGAAGUACUUAAGUUGCCUUUCCUUUGAUGUUGCAAUAAAGCAAUGACUGUUGCUGUUUCUUUGGUUUUGUACAAUAUGCAGAAGAACCCUUUGCCUUUACUAUUCCAAUCUAUUUAUCUUUUUCUUCCUCGUCUCUUCUGUUGCUUUCUUUAUGUUAUUUUCACGAUAUAUAUAUUCUCCCACUUUAAAGAAGAGAACAUGUGCUCUUGUUCUUUCUUGUACUUGCAUUUCCUUUUUAAAGCUCUUACAUUAAUUUAAUCUUUAAAGUACAAGAUGAAGCUCACAAUUAAAAUUGUAAAUAAAGAAAGAGCAUUUCGAAUCAUCUUAGGGAGGCGAUAGUGGGGGAGCUAGUCAAUACAUGA